GUGCUCACUUUGGUGGCACAUGUACCAGCACUGGGACAAUACAGAGAAGAUUAGCAUGGCCCCUGUGUGAGGAUGAUACACAAAUUUGUGAAGCGUUCCAUAUUUUU